GCUGCUUCAAUGCUCCCAGUAAGAGGCCAGAGGUGGGGUGACUUGUCCAAGGAAACACAGCAAGGCAAGUACAGAGCUGGGGCUCAAAGCCUGGCCUCCUAACUCCCCAGAUGGCUUACUUCGCACUUCCAGCUUUCUCUAUCAAGAGAGAAGGAAGGGCAGGAGUGAAAAUAUCAUUCUGUACUGAGAGGUACUGAUUUAAAAAUACUCAGAUUAGGGACUUCCCUGGUGGUCCAGUGGUUAAGAAGCCACCUUCCAAUGCAAGGGAUGCAGGUUCAAUCCCUGGUCAGGGAACUAGAAUCCCACGUGCUGCAGGGCAACUAGGCCCACCUCCCACAACUAGAGAAAGCCUGUGGUGUCACAAUGAAGACCCAGCACAAAACAAAAAACAACAAACUCAGAUCAAAGGAUCCAACUAAAGAUGAGAUGAAGUUCCCCACCCCACAUCCCAGCAACCCGCGAUGCGUCACCAUCAGCCAUAAAUAGGGGCUGAGGGCAGGUAAUAAGUGGUAUUUCUCCAUGAAAAAUCAAUGGCAAACUGGAACUUGUAAGUUUGGCUGGUGCAGGGCUGUGACAAGGACUUCCCCGGGGGCCUCAGUGGUAAAGAGUCUGCCCUGCCAAUGCAGGAAACACAGGAGAUGUGAGUUCAAUCCCUGGGUUGGGGAGAUCCCCUGGAGGAGGAAGAGGCCAUCCACUCUAGUAUUCCUGCUGGGAAAAUCCAUAGACAGAGGAGCCUGGUGGGCUACAGUCCAUGGAACUGCAAAAAAGUCAGACACAACUGAUCACACACAUACAGAGUAGAAAGAUCUUGACCACCUACAACACCCUAGGGAGAGCUCUGCCUCAGGAAUAAAAGAGGGAGAUCUUACAACAAAAGGCUCUGAGUCUUCUAGAAGGUUGGUAGGUGUGAGAGAAGGAUGGAGGGUCAGUGCAGGAGGAGAGUGCUUGAUCUAAAUAAGCUCCCCUUCCCUCCUCACCUCUCCCCUCAUCCCCACCACUGACUGGCUUUUAUACCCAUUGAGUGAAUUCAGUACAUGGGCUUCCCCAGGUGCCCCUAGUGUUAAAGAACCCGCUUGCCAAUGAAGGAGAUGUAAGAGACACAGGUUCAAUCCCUGGGUUGGGAAAAUCCCCUAGAGGAGGCAUGGCCACCCACUCUAGCAUUCUUGCCUGGAGAAUCCCAUGGACAGAGGAGCCUAGUGGGUUACAGUCCAUCGGGUUGCAAAUAGUUGGACGAGACUGAAGUGACUUAGCGUACACAGCACUGAGUGUAUUCAGUAUGUGUGAGUUUAUGCAUGGGGUGGGAGUCGGGGUGGGCAUCUGGUAAGUUUCAGAACUCAGAAAGGAAUUGGAAUUGAGGAAGCCCUUGUUCUGGAUGCUGGAAAUGACCUAGAGGAGCUUGAAUAAUUUAACCUGGUCCCUUAGGGAAUGUGCCCCUCAGUAUUUGGAGUUGUCUGUGGGCAUCUGACUGUUCUUUGUGGGCUCAAAGGAAUGGCCUGUCUGUUGAGAUCUCUGUGCAUAGCAGGGGAACCUCCCCAAACCCUGAUCAUUUCUGACGAGUCUCUACAGGUCCUGAGUUAAUCCUUUCUUCAGAGCAUCUGAUGUGUCUGGCUGGGGAGUUUUGACUUCUGCGUCAGUUCUGCCCUGAUCUCUCAACCUUCUGCUUCUUCCUCCUCCAGGGCACAUUCCUGGCAGUGAACUAGGAGCCAGAAUAGGAGCCUCUGGUGAGCAUGAAGCACCCCCAUACCUUCUUGGAGCCCCUGGCCCACACUGGCCCUGACAUUGAGAUAGGUAAUCUCUCUUCAAAGCCCAGGGAUCCCACAGGGCUGGCCCAUGGCUGCCCCCUAAGUCUUCAUUACUGUCCCCCCCCACCACUGUGACACUGUACCUGGUAGACGUUACCACCUGACAGCCACAGGUGUGCAGAGAGGCUCCAAAGUACCACGUGGCGAUGCUGAGCCUUGGGGGUCUCUUCCGCUGCGCUUAUGACCCUCUUUGCCCUUUGUGCCCCAGAGAUGUUGCAGAGCUCCUGGUUGUCCAACUUGCCUCUCAGGGCUUUCUAGCAUGCUCCUCCCUCUGCCAGGAGGACCCCCCACCACCACCCAACCUUGGCUACUUCGAGGGGAAAGAUGGACAAGCACCCUUCCUUCCCCACUGCCUUCCUCAAAUUGUCUGAAGGAAGCAAGGCCAGUUCUGUACCCUGCUAGGAAAUCACAUUCAAGGACACAAAUACCCACCCCCUGCACUCUGGGAAGGAGGAGGGCUGGGUACCUGAUUGCUGCUGGGGAUGUCCUAGCAGACGCUGAGAUCUGGGCUGGGGAAGGGGUUUAGACCAGGAGUUUAAGAUUAUUGCCCCUGCCCCAGGACUGUCAUGAAGACUUCUCAGGCUGAGCUGUCCUCUCAAAAUGCAAAACUGGGGCACAGGGUUCUGAGUCCCAUUUCCACAGCCCACAGAUUCCUUCCAGGGUAUCCCUGAGCAGCCUGUGUAUUGUAACCCACUGCACUGUACCCAGGUGGAAGAAAGCAGAGGGUAUCCGGACUUCCCAGUCCCCACUGGGGCUUUGGGGCUCCUUCCCUGGGGCCUGUGGGCAGUGUCACUGAGAGACCAGGGUGACUACACCCGAGGAGACUUGUAUGCAGCAAACAUGCCAACCAGACUUGGCUCUCUGUAUCCAACUAAAGCCACUGACCUGCAAACAUAAGCUUUCCCAGGGACACGCAAACUUUGAACAGAGCAUAGGCUCUAGAGAGAGUAGCCAUAUAAUCUGGACACUUUCAUAGUUAAUGGUUGGGAGGGAGGCUCUAGAGGGAGGGGCUAUAUCUAUACUUAUAACUGAUUCAUUGUUGUACAUCCGAAACCAACACAACAUUCUAAAGCAAUCAUCCUUCAAUUAAAAAUAAAAAAAUAAAUAAACAAAUAAAACAGAUAACAAUGACAAAAAAAGUUAACGGGAUCACUAGAAUUAAAUAGACUACAACAACGUAACUAGGAUGUGUUUACCUAUCAACCAUAUUUCUCGUGAGGGCCAGACCAGGGGUAAGGAUAUCAAGCAGGAAGUCUGACAUCUCUUGACCUCCUGUCCCCUUGCCUUAGUCACUUGAAAUUUUGUUGACUACAUAAGGGACAAGGAAAGGGAAGCAGCUAGGAAGCAGAUGGACCACGUGCAGGUGCUUUGCAUACAGUGGUCUGUAGGGAGCUAUGGCCCCUGAUACUUCAAGCUCCUUUGAAUUGGGUCCUGAUCUCAUCUGUGCUUACUACAACCCUGGUGGCUCAGAUGGCAAAGAAUCUGCCCGCAAUGUGGGAGACCUGGGUUCAAUCCCUGGGUUGGGAAGAUUCCCUGGAGAAGGAAUGGCAACCCACUCCAGUAUUCUUGCCUGGAGAAUCCCAUGGACUGGGAAGCCUGGCAGGAGACAGUCCAUGGGGACUCAGAGUCAGACAUAACUGAGUGACUAAUACACUCCAGGGGUCUCAGCCAGAAGAACUGAUUCUAGAAGCCAGGACUGCUGGUCAUGGGCCAGAGCUCAUCGACAGCCUCGGACAACCUUGUCAUAGAGCAGGCAAGGUGAAGGCAGGAUGGAUCCACCCGGUGGAUGCACAACACCUCUCAGUACUUGUGUCAGCAGAUGCUUCGACCAGGGUGAACUGCUGGGAGCACCCGUGUCUUUGUUCCACAUUCCCAAGUAUUUGGUGAGCACUUAUUAUGUGCAGUCAUCAUCAGGACCCUGUAGAUACAGCAUGAGCAGACAGAGUCUUCCUUUACUGACAUGUAGAAUUGUGUCAGGAAGUGACAAAUGUAGCUUGCCUUCAAGGCCCUGUACAAUCUCC
ensembl:lncRNA